AUGGGAAAAACAACCCCAAACAUAUAUUGAAAAUAAUGACAACAACAACAAGAAGAGCAGCAGCCAGCCACCACAACGGCGUAUGUAACUCUUUGUAAUGAACUGAAAAUGACAGUUUUAUAAUGGUUGAAAUUGUCGGAAAUUCAGUUGCUCAGCGAUAAUCGACGGGAAAACUACCGGAUAACGGGAAAAAAUAUAUAACAGCAGCAAAGCGUAUGAAGUAUGCAAAGCCAAAGCUCAAUGAAGCAGAGUGAGUGAGUGUGAGUGUGUGCGUGUAAUUGUCUGUGAGUGUAUGCCAAGAGAGGAGAAAGGGAAUAGAAAACAACUAAGCCGCUCUUCUCCUAUGGCUCCCUACUGGCCUCCCCCAAACUAUUGGGUCUCUGGAUAACUCUUCUGUGGAGGAAAACUUCAAAGCAGUGAUUUUUAAACCCCGCGGGCAAGGGUCCUACAAAAAUACAAUUUUCGCCUACGCAUUAUUGUUGUAAAACAAAAAAAUUGUCAUUCGUUCGCUCGUCAAAGCAAAAAACGCGUCGUAUGUCGUUGAAACGUUCCGCUUUAAAACAAAUGCCACAAAUGGAUAAUAAAUCAGUCUGCCACCAACAACAAUACCCAACAAUGCUGGAAGAUAACGAAAUGCAUUUUGCGGAUUAAUUUCUGGCAAAAAAAUAAUUCUGAAUUCAAAAUCAAGUCUCCUCUCGUUUCGCGGAAAAUAACUAUAAAAGUUCGGGAUUUUAAAUUCUAGGAUUUAUUUAAACAAAAGCCAGCACGCGAUAAGGAAUGUUUAUUUGCCACAAGGUCAGCAGAACUCCCAAGGGAGACAAAUAAAAUUCCACUUAACAAAGGAAUCAAUGGAAAAUAAUUUUUCCAAAACCAAAAAAAAAGUGAAUAAAAAUUGAUAUUCAUUUUGAAAAAAUAAAAAUCGAAAGGAAAUUAAAAUAUUUCUCUUCCAAGUGUCAAAAAGUGUAGAAUUUCAGUGUUUUUUUUACGAAAAUUGCAAUAAUUUACAAUAACAAAAACGAAGCAGCCACAAAAAGAAAACAACAACAAAAAAACAGAAUUUUUAUUGAGCCUUUAUUUUGCUCUUCAAAUUCUCUACGUCUUUAUUGGCGCCUUUGUUUUGCGCUUUAUAUUCCAAAAAAAUAAAAAAAAACAACAACACAUCAUAAUCGUCAUCAGCUGCUGCAAGAGCCGCCACUCACAGCCGUCACAGACUGUCCGUCCAUCUUAAAGCAGCCACCAAGAACAAGCAGCAGUAGCAGCAGCAGACGUCAUCUACAACACAGGCAAAAUUGUGUUUGUGCAAUUCAAGCCAACGCGCCAAAUUAUUUUGUGAUCAACGAUACCAAAGGAUAAGAACAUAAAGGCUUUACCCAACUACUACAACAAUAACAUCAAAAAGGAAAGGCGAACGGCAAAUACGGAAGUACAUCCUAAAAGACAGCAGCAAUAACAACAACAACACCAAAAACGACCACGUCCAUUAAAAG